GCCCGCCUAGCUCAAUUGGCUAGAGCAUCUACUUGAAGUAUUUACUUGUCUGCGAGUUCGACUCUCGCGGUGGGCU